CUUACAGUCCAAGAGUUUAGGCUUAAUGCCUGUGCUGCAUGUUCUUCACCCGUUGCCAUAUUUCGCCAAAUAUACCGACAAUCCGACUACUCUGAAUGUUGCGAAGGGUGAAUCAUUAAACGUUUAGCUGCAGUUAUGAACAAUGAUACCAGACGACGGGAGAGCAGUCAGAAUGGACCAAGGGCAGUGAAAUCGAAACUCGUGCUGGACAAUUAUUCCCAAAAAAUUGAGCCCAGUCUUUUUGCACACGCACGGCCAUCUCGGCCGUGAUAAUACUAUUCAACAAAAAGCGUAUAGAGCAAUGACCCACUGUGAGCCCUGCACGUGUAGGACGGAAAACCACGACAACCGCCUCUGGAGGGGCAACGGACUGCGUGGUGGUUCGAGUUCCCCACGCCCAGCCAUGCCAUGGCGACAGAUGUGAUUAUCGAUGCCUCGUCGUGCCCCUAGCUCAAUAUAUAUCAGAGCUACAAUACUCUCUGAAGUCAGAAAUAUUCGUGCCAUUUAUCCGCAUCAUUAUUCUGCAAUUGGUGAGAAAAGAACAACCCAGCAUUUGGUCGAAACAGACAUUUGCAAAUUCGUACCCGGCAUCUUCACACGUGCAUCUUGGGGGCGCUGCGAUCGCACUAUGCAGUGUGAAUCCCCAUUCUGACUCUCAGACCUGAAAACCUAGGUUGAGGUCUUCGAAAACCGAGAGCCGAUUCUCACCCCGCGAUCUCGUGCACGGCUUUUUAGGCUGGCGCUCGACGCGACGGCUGCCUCAUUGUGCCUCGUGGCCUGCCGGUUUGCCCCGGUCGAUGCGGUCGCCGAGUCGCGGUGAGGCGCGGCAAGGGCAUCAGCGAGGCGGCUUUGGUGGGGGCAAACUCUACAGUGGUGUCGUACCUUGACCAAUCUCAACGCAACUUGUUUUAAGCUACACAUCGGCAACGACCUUAGAACAUCGCAAUCGCGUUGAAACUGAAAUGGCGAAGGGAAUGCCCCCGCAAAUUACAACCGCAGACAUACAAGCUGAUGCCCAUGCAAAUGCCUUUACAAGAUGUCGACAUCGUUUUACUAGUUCAAUCAAUACUCUAGAUGACAAUUGAUUCUGGAAAUGUAAACUUAGAAAUAUAUGUGUAGAUGCCGCACUGAUAUGCUAAUGUUACCACAAA